rnacentral:tmRNA from 1 species
GGGGGUGAAUUUGGUUUCGACGGGGUUAAAGAGGCUUAGAACUGCGCACCGUGUUCCCCAGAGUACACGUUAAACAAUUGGGAAAAAAAAUAACUGGCGAAUAUAAUUACGCCUUAGCUGCUUAAUUAACUAAGCAGCCGUUCACCAAGUUUUCGCAUACCGGAAUUUGAUUGAACGUCGUUUAGGUAUGAUUGCUGAUUCUGUUGCUUGUGCAGAUGAUGUGAAAUUUUUAGCAAGCAAGCUUUAAGUAAUCCUAGUCUGUUAGGUAGCUUAAAGUUAAAACAAUAUCAGACUAUGUGUGUAGAUGUUCUUUGGAUCUUAACUUCGGACGCGGGUUCGACUCCCGCCACCUCCACCA